AUGAUUUCCUCUCUCCUUCCUGCAGUUAUGCUCUCAACCUCUCACCAUAUGUACUAGAUUCGCAGCAACCUGAAGAUUCAUGAUAUCUGGUCGAGGAUUGGAUUCUCUAGCAAGAUGUAGAUGGUAGGCUCAGUAUGUUGUUGAAAUGGCUGCGAAUACUCAGUUGGUUUUCCUGGAAAAAUAUUCAUUCAAUUGAGAAACAAACACUGUGUUCUUCUUCAAUGGGAAGGUGGAAAAUCGGACUCCAUAUCUCUUCAAGGAGAUACAGACUUGGAUCAUGAAGAGGUUUCAUGCCAAUCCAAGCACAAACAUUGAACUGAAAUAUCUGUCAGAGCUGUCUAUUGGGGAAUCAGAACUUUCAUCCCUUUUCUUAGGAAUCAGAACUUCAGUUAAGGUUAUUUAUCUAUCAGGAAACCUUUCUUUCUGAAACUUUCAUUAAUUUAAUCUUUGAACUUGCAGAGUGAUCAUCUAAACCUGGUCAUCGUACACUUGAAGGAUUUGAGCUCAUUGUGUUCUGUACUUUAAGGAAACUGUUAGAGAACUUCAUCCAAGUUUGUCGUAGUCUGAAGAAUCACAUAGCAUAAUUACUGAUACACUUAAGCAGCUGGAGUCUGCUGUAUUCAGAUUGCGAGAGCUUAAGCUUCAGAGAUGCAGAAGACCCAGGAGCAACAAAAUCGCGCUAAAACUAGCAUACUGGAACCUCUUUUCCACACAACUUCAACAAUGUCAGCAGCAGUGGAGCAAACUCCGCAACCCUUCAUUCUUCGCCUUCAACAAUCCCUCGUCUCCUGCUCCAAGGCAGUUGAAGCUGGUGAUUUUCGUCAAUCGGAAUAAGUAAUUUCUGGGAUUGUUGAGUUUCUCAGCUCAAUUUAUGAUGCUGCUGUUUCAGAUUUUGACGAUAAAGAAACCCAGAACAAUUCAAUCGUUGUUCUCUCUCAUAUUCACUCUUUCCUUUGAAACCCUUCUCUUGAUCAGGUAUUUAUCUCACUAUAUUCUCUCUAGUUUGGGGUUUUUAGGGUUGUUUGUGAAUUUGUGUGAAUAGGGUUUUGUGUAAUUUUGAAGAUUGAAGCACCCAAUUUUGUUGUGGGUUUGUUUUUUGGAUUUUGAUGGGUUUGGUCAAUGGUGCUAAAGAAAACAACCAUUUUA